UUUCUGAGUACUUUAUCCAGAGUAAUAGUCAAGAGAGAAACAAGCAGAGCCUGUGUCCACAUUGGUGCCUGGCAGCUGGCACAGCCUAACACUAGAAAGCUGUUCAAGAUGUGAGCAGUGCUACAGGACAGGAAAAAGUAGCAUUAGUGAGUGGCCUGCCUCACUUCACAGAGGAAUGUUCAUCUUCAUCCUCAACACACAUGUGCCCAGAGCAGCUCAUCUCCUAAAACUGUAUGUUGAAAAGCAAGACAUCCCUGAAGGGACUGCGUGUCACCAGUCGGUCGGUCACUUACCAAAGCUUCUUUGACCUCUUCAGAGACAUCUGUUUCAUCUUCCUGAAAUGGAAAGAGGAGGAAAGCCAUAGGGACCAUAGUCACAGACCUCUCUGAAAACAGCAAGCUCAGCUCCUACCAAUUACACUUGGCCUUUCAAUUGUGGGCAAUGAGACUGAAAGCCAAGUGAUGCCACCAGUGCCACCUUCAACACCUGCCACAGGCAGGGGGCUUAGAAGCAUCACUGUGGUAAAAUAUGUUGAAUCAAAUACAGCAAGAAAAAGAAAAGGCUGGCAGCCACAGGUGAUAUGGUGUGCCCCAUAGACCACUGUACUUACGUCAUUUGUCCAGAAGUUAAUGCCGGUGCCUCUUCGCCUAUCUUUAGCUCUUCUCCGUUCUCGGACAGACAGCCUGUUAGAGGACUGAUCAUCCAAAUCAGCUUCUCCUUUCUCUGCGCAAAGAUAACACACAAUGUGGAUCUUAAAAGCCUGUGUGUGCACCCUGGGGAGUGACUUCUGAAGCUCCAGACAGAUCUGCACCAAAGACUGCUACAAACACACAGUGUCUUCCAGGAAUUGUUCACUUCAAGGCAGGAUAGCAUUUAAGUCACCACUUUAUGAAGGUUCACCAAAUUAUCGUGCUUGUGGGCAGAGCAUGCUAGCAAAAAGAGCUCACCUCUUCCUCCAGACUUCUGCCCUCGCCAGCUCCCUUUGUUGGGGCUGCCGAUGGCUCCUGCUUCUUGGUGCUUCCUUCGAGGCCACCAGGAUCUUCAAGCUUCUCCCCAGGCUGCUCCUGGGCUUGUCUCUCCGCCCUCGAACGGCUGAACGUCUUUUCUGCUUCUUGGAGGUCUGUUAGGGUAACACCCUGGGAAAAUAUCAAGUGGUAAAGACAGUUUCACAUUAACACACAGAAUUCUUGAGCAGAGAAACUGCCCCUAAAACAACCCAAAUAAAUCUCCCAACAGGCCAUUUCUAGCAACACAUGCCUAAAAUAAGCACCGUGGUGUACAGAGAACGCAGACCUAAAUCUGCGUACACUCUGAACUAAAACUUUAGCUUUCCUAACUUGAUCUUCCAAAAACAGGUCAACAGUGACACCCACUGUUACAGAUGUACUUGGUCUACACCAAACUGUGCUCAGUUGUCUGAGUGCACUUUACCCUCUCCCAAGAUCAAAUGGUUAUUAUCCUCUUAGUCUCUGAGCAGUAACUACUGGGAAAACCAAACUUUUAAAACCUGGUUCAAGAAGGUGAAAAUUCGUAGCUAGGCUAAAACAACCAAACCUUCUGAAAUGCUAUAUUGGCUUUUCUUUUUCUCUAUUCUCAUUUUCUGAGUAACUCUAGGAAUCACACAGAGAUGUGCCAACAACUACUGUUCCCCCUGGGAUCAUUGGAGCAGUAUGACAGAGGCAAAGCCAAAUGGUAGACCUGGGCAGGACGGCCCUAAGGAGAGAGUGAGAUUAUUCCAGUAGAGUGUUUAUGUUUUCAGAGCUUUGGAGGAGGCCAUGUCCCAAAGCUGGAAGGCAGGCACUAAUUACUAAACCCAUAGCAUCCUUUUUAUUUUAAAAAAUUAUAUGUAUACAUAUGCUCUUAUGUAUGUAUACAAGUAUACCGCUUGCAGAGGAUGCCAGAUCCCCUGAAGCUGGAGUAAGGGAUGACAAUGUGGGGUCCUCUGCAAAACCAGAAAGCACCCUCCAAUGCAGGACUCUCUCUCUAGUCUCAUUGCUGCCUUUAAAAAAAUAGCUAAUUCAUAAUUUUAUUCACUCUUUUAAAUAACUGAUGUCUUUAAAGCACUUAAACUUACAGAGGCAAGUCAAGAAAUUCUUUUCAAGAAACUUUCUUCACAGAUUUAUUCUCAGUUCUGGGUAUGUGUGUGAGGCUGGCAGAGUUGAUAUACCCUAUGUGCAUGCCGGAGCCUACAGAGAGGCCGGAGAGGGUGUUGGAUCCUCUGGAACACGAGUUACAGGUGGUUGUAAGCCACUAUGUAGACACUGGAAACUGAGCCUGGGCCUUCUGCAAGGGCAGUAAGCACUCUUAGCUGCUGGCCUCGCUCACUAGCACCCUUUUCAAGAAACGUUUCAUCUACCAGAAAUGACAUGAAAAAAGUAGAUGAUCAUAAGAUGUUAUGUACACAUGAAGAUAGAAACCCUGGGACAUGAGAGGACAGCACAGGGAUAAAUGAGCCCGAGGACCAGAGUCUGGAACCGCAGAACCCAGGAGUUAGAUAAGACCUAAGAAGAGAGGAAUGAGAAAGUGCUCUGCAUCCUGAAGGGAUUCCCGAAUGCUGAGAAUAAAGCAUUUAUACUCUCUGCAUCCAUACAUAUGCCUUUACCCAUACCACCCUGCUUUCCCUUCGCCCCCCCUCGACGAAGAGGACUGCCAGAAAACAGUUACCUUCUUGUGCAGGCCUGCAUAGCAGAAUGAAGGUCAAGACAUGCACGGAGAAGAACAGC
ensembl:antisense Gm28892 predicted gene 28892